UCGACGUGGAGGCAUAUUUCUGAAAGAGAAGAGCACGAAUCAAUAGCAGAGAGAGACACUUUAAGCACGAUAGACCUCUGAAAGAAAGAAUCACACUUUUUCCUAAAACUUCUUGUAGCCUAUUGCUCAUAGAUAUGGCGCGCUACACACCGAUGAACAAGACUCUACUUAACGCGGUUUGUCAGACCCACUAGGACACCUUAAAACCUUAGGCUCUGAUACCAAGUUUGUAACACCCCAAAAAUGGGUCUCGGAGCAUCACACGGUGCUUGAGGCUAUGAGUAGUCCCAAGCUAACCCUUGGACCCAUUUUUAUUUAGUUCAACACGAAUCAAUGGGGUUUUCAUAAAUAACCCUCAAAUAUCAACACAGUAAUCAUCAUCCAAGAAUAAAAGAAUUUCAGAAAGAUAAUAAAAUACGACUUAUUAGUCAACUCCCAACAUCUAUACUAGUUUGACAAGCCUCUAAGAAAAUUAAUAAAACCAGAGAGCCAUUAAGACAUGCCCCAACUAACUCAUACUCAGUUAUCAAAUGUAAACAAUUCUGUGGAACCAACAUCAGACAUCACGUCCUCAGAAUAUGAGGACUCACCACGAUAGAGGAUGUAGAACAGCGUGCCCAAAGAAUCACUGUCGAACCUAGAACUAAGCACCUAAACCUACAAAUCGAGGAAAUCCAGCCCACAUCUGAAGAUGUGGGUCAGUACCAUGGAAAGGAAUCGAGUAUAUGGGGGUGUAUGCAGUUUUAUAAACAUAAUCAUCAUAAAUAUUUAUAAAAAAUAAGCAGGAUGUAUGAAAGACUCACAUAGCCCGAAGAAAAUCAUCAUAAUCAUGAGAGGAUGAAAUAAGUACAAUAACACAUGUGAGUCAUCAUAUAAUUUGUCAAUCACUUUCAGUUCAUCAAGAAUAUCAAUUCUCAUAAUGUAAAUAUCAUUUAAAUCUUUCGAAAGAAUAACUUUCACAAUUCCACUUUCAAAUCACUUCACCAUUCACCAUAGACACAAGGAAACACACACACACUGAGAGAUCCUCUACAUGGAGUCCAACGUACAACCCACGUUAGGGAGAGCCGUCCUAUCCUUGCCAUCGGAGUAGGACUAUCAAUAUCAAAUCCACACAAACUAGUGAUCACUAUAUAAAUCAGCCUCAAGCUCACUCCUACGAGGGCAUGUAGUUCUAGGGAAGUAAGGUCGCUUUAUACCUCCCACUCGGUGCUAAAGAUUUCUCCCGAACUUAGCUCAGAUCAUUUCAAAGACAAUCAACAACAAAACAAUUUUAGUAAUAUAUAAAUAUACAUCGGGAGCCAUCAUACUUCCCAUCUAUCAAAAUCAACCACAUUGUAGAUUUCUAUCACACUCGAGUUCAAAACAACUCUAUUAAGAAUAAAAGGUCAAAUCAUUCAAAAUAUCUCAAAUAUUCAACAUCAAGGUGCUUAUAACAUAUACUUUCUCAAAAAGCACAAUUUCCAAUGGGGAUUCAUGACCCAAAUAUCAAAAUCAUGAUAAAUAAUGUUCAAGAUCCAUGUGUUAUAUCUCCACACAUGUAAAUUCAUCUUUCAAAAUCAUAAACAUCAAGAUUUCAUAAUAAUCAUCAUAAUAUAUGGGUUCGUGCUUCAAAUUCAUAAAAGUCAAAUAAAAAUCAUGCUUUUGUAAAAAAAAUUACUUUUGGGCACAAAAACGAAAGAGAGUUCUUGUUGAAAAACUCCACAUACCUUGAACGAUGAACUUUAGAUCGAUACUCAUUUUUGAGAUAUUAAUCGUGCCUUUGAAUGAUGGUUCUUGGAGUUCUUGAACUAGGAACUUAGAAUCUUGAAUAAAUUUGCAGAAUUAGUGGUAAACUUUGGAGGUUCUUGAAGUUGGAUGUAAGAGCUUAGAGUUUUCUUUUUGAGGGUAAUUUGAUGAAAUAUAACAUAUAAUGCUUCUAAUAGGCUUUAAUAUAGGGUUUGGACAGAUUUUGGGUGAGGGGGAAUGACCAAAACGCCCCUAAAAAUUAAAUAAUUCUCGAAUCUGUCCUUUAGUGGACUAUUUUGAUAGUCUGAAGUAGAUCAAUCAUAAUGUUUUACUUCAAUAUACAAAUUGGAUAAAACUAAUUUCAUUAGAAAGAGGACUCUCAUAUCUUUCCAUUGAUAUAUAGUAUCUCACCCAUAUCAUUAUGUACGAGGAGUUAUGAUCGUUUGAAGUUGACCAAAAAAUUUGCUUUUGAUAGACUGAAGUAGAUCGACCAUAACUUUUUACUCCGAUGGACAAAUUAGAUGAAACCAAUUUCAUUGGAAAGAGGACUCACAGAUAUUUCCGUUCAUAUAUAGUAGAUCACCCAGAUCAUUAUGUACAAGGAGUUAUGAUCAUUUAAAGUUGGAGCAAAAGUAUGCCAAGUCUCAGUACUUUUUCCUGCACAUUUUACUGUUCACUACUAUUCACGGUUCGAUCGGAAUAUUCAUAACUCGUCCUGCACAUUUUACUGUUCACUACUAUUCAUGGUUCGAUCGGAAUAUUCAUAACUCGUCGCUCGGGUGUCCAUUUUGGAUGAUCCAGAUAUCAUUGGAAAGCUUAUUCAAUACUCUACGCAAUGGUGGGUCAUAUCUAAGACAUUCCGCAUGAAAAAUUUAUAAUUCAUUCUAGAAGAUAGAACCCAACACGUUUACACACAAAAUUUCAAAAAAAAAAAUUCUCGGGGUAUUACAAUGAGUCAGCUAGUCGACUCACAUUCUACCUAUAUUGAGAAACUAGAACAACAAAUGAACUAGUUAUCUACAGUAUUCAACUAGAGAAAAAGCUGAACAUUAUCGAGUGAUACAAUGCAAAAUCCUUGAAAUGAUGGCUCUUGCAUGGCGAUUACCACUUGAAGUGGUAAAGUAUUAUCGGGCCCUUUUGUUGGAAAAUCUUUGAUUGAUGAUGGGAUGGAGUUAGAUGCAGAAGUAGAAGAAAACCAUCCAGUAGAGACUAAGAAGCUGGAUAAUGAUAAGAUUUUAUCUAAACAUCAGCAGGUUGAUGAGUUAGAUAAAGAUAAGGUAAAGGAUGGAUGACACAAAAUUUAGCAAGUUCCUGGCAAUGCUAAAAUAGUUGAUGGUGAAUGUGUCUUUAGUGGAGGCAUUGGAACAAAUGUCUGGCUAUGCUAAGUUCAUGAAGGAUCUUGUGACAAAGAAAAGAAUAGUAAGGUACGAACCAGCGGACAAACUUCACCAUUGUAGAGCUAUUUCUACAAGAUCCUUGGUGCAGAAGAAAAUGGACCCAGGAGCUUUCACUAUCCCUUGUACUAUUGGAUUACUUAAUUUUUCUAAGGCCUUGUGUGACCUUUGGGAAAGUAUUAAUCUGAUGCCACUGGCAGUUUACAAGAAGUUGGGUUUGGGAGAUACUACACCCACCAAUAUGCAACUUGUAAUGCCAAACAGAUUAGUGAAGCGGCUAGUCGAAAUAUUAUAUAAUGUGCUUUCAAAAGUGGCUAGUUUUAUUUUCCCUAUUGAUUUUUUCAUCUUGGAUUGUGAGGUGGACAUUGAGGUACCCAUAAUCUUGGGUAGACCUUUCCUUGCAAUCGGGAGUGAGUUGAUUGACUUGCAAACUAAUAAGCUGAAGUUUAGGCUCAAUGAGAAGGUGGUCAUUUUUUAUGUUUGAAAGUCAAUAAAGUAGCAAAAGGAGAUAAGUGUAUUCUUGAUCAUUGAUAUAUAUUAUGAGAUAAACAUGAGGUACCGAUUGAGGAUAAAUAUGGCAUGGAAACAUUGGUUGCUAUGUUGAUAAAAUUUGCUAGUGAGGGUAUCGAAGAAUAUGAAAAGAUGGUGUGUGCAUUAACUGGGAUAGGAUCAUAUUCAUAUGCUCCCAAGAAGCUAGACUUGGACCUUAAAAUUUGCCUAACACCACCGGCUAAGCCAUCUAUUAAAGAGCCACCGACGUUGGAACUUAAUGAGUUGCCAGGCCAUCUGCGCUAUGCAUUCUUAGUAGUGAUAACACUUUGCCGGACAUUAUUGCAGCAGAUUUGGUAAAGCUGCAGGUUAAGGCCCUUAUUUUUGUUCGUAGGAGGUACAAAAAGCUAUCGGAUGGAUGAUUGCAGAUAUUAUUAGUAUCCCUCCAAGCAUAUGUACCCAUAAGAUCUAGCUAGAAGAUGAUUGCAGAUCGACCUUUGAGCAUCAAUGUAGACUAAACCUACCUAUGCAAGAAGUGGUGAAAAAAGAGAUUGUAAAGUAGCUUGAUCCAGGGGUAGUGUACCCGAUCUCUAACAGUAAGUGGGUAAGUCCAGUACAGUACGUGCCCAAGAAAGGAGGUGGACUGUGGGUGAUAAUAAGAAGAAUGAGAUAAUUCUGCUUAGGCCAAUAAAUAGGUGGUGAGUUUGCAUAGACUACUGAAAUUUGAAUUCAUGGAUGUUAAAAUAUCAUUUUUCAAUGCCCUUCAUGGAUCAAAUGCUUGAUCGCUUAGAAUGAAGGGGUUGGUAUUGCUUUUUGGAUAGAUAUUCGGGAUACAACCAGAAUAGGGUCCACUUGCUAAAUAAGACAUCUUGUGGUUUGGGUCCACUUGCCAUGCAAGAUAAGAUAGCUCGUGAUUAGGUUCCACUUGUUAUACAAGAUACAACGGCUUAUGGUUUGGGUCCACUUUCCAUAUAAGACAUAACGGCUUGAGGUUAGGGUCCUCUUUCUAUAAUAGAUGAGACAGCUAGAGGUUAGGUUCCUUUUGCUUAAUAUAACCUAAAGGUUCAAACGUUCUUAACUAGAAGGGUGGAAGGUUGGAGUCCUUCACUACAUCUUUCAUGAUUGAGUGUUUUCAAAAAGGCAUGCUAAGCCUUGUUUUUUCCUUUUUGGCACGUUAUGAAUCUAUAUAUGUGUACGUAUAUAAAUAUGGUUGCAUAUGAUGGUUUGACUUGGUAUUAAAUAAUGGUACUAGUUUAUCCUUAUCCUUGAGUUACAUGUUAGUGCUCCAACUGUUAACCAUCUCCGAACGUUAUGUGCCCACGUGACAUAGGGGCCAAAGCUUCUUCUUCUCUUCUUGCGUAGUGACAGGUGUUCGAGUGGUUCAUGUGUUGACAUUGAAGUGGUGAACUUCCAUAUUUCAGAAGACAUACAUUUUAUAGUCUUUCAAUCUUAUGCUAUAGAUUUGUUUUAGACUUGGCUUAUGGUUAUUAUCAGGGGCAUGUCCCGAAAUAUUAUAGACAUCGGAUUUGUAGAGGCUUUGUGUAUGAUUGUGGACUUGGGUAUAUUGGUUAGUAUAUUGAUGUAAAUGAAUUGAUUAGACAUCUCUUAAGUCAUAAUCAUUAGUCUUUUUUCCGCUACCUUAUUAUAUGUUCGGAGUUCAUCCGGCACUUGCCGUUUGAUAUGAUGGUUAGGUUGGGUUAAUGGGCAAUCUUCGAUCCUUGUUGGGCUUGAAAUGCCCAUUUGACAAGGCCCAAUUUUGGGUCGUGUCACCUACCUAGAUUAUUGCUACUUACUCCAAAAGAGGAGUAGUGACUAGGAAAAGAUAAUUACAACAGCGAUUUGAAUAUUAAUCGUCGAUCCAUGCUAAUAGGUAUUAUCUAAGUAAAAUCAUUAACUAACAUCUAAUAACUAGAGACCCAAAAGGUAAUAUUUAAUUGGGAUCAAGGAUAAGUGUUGGUAAGGUGACAUCUUGAGACUCAAAAGGUAAAGGGUGGAAUCCAUUAACUAGUCCAAAAGACAGUUGAUAGUACAUAACUUAUCAGAUUCUGCAUGCAAGAUAUCGGGUUGGUUCAAUAAAAGCACAAUAAGCCUAUUGAAUUGAGAAGUUAGGGAAAACAAAAUCCUACUGUUCAUCUACAACUUAUUACAACCAGAGUUGAUAUUUGUUAUUUGUUCGAUAUUACCACUAUAAUCCCCUAUUUACUUUUUCAGUUCUGCCCGUUGAUUACAAUAGUUAAGAGCCACAAUUCCAUGUAUUUCCUUGGGAUUCAACCCCAACCGUUGUUGGGCUACUAUAUUUGACAAAGAAUGCAUUAUCUUCAGAUUGAAGGUGUACCUUGGGCAUUAUUAGGGACAAUGCUAGAGAUGAGGAGAUAGAGGUCCAACAUUUUGUUAGAAAUGGAGAAUGGGAUAAAGAGUUGCUAUUAUCUCAACUGUCAGAAAAAAUGGUUGAUCUUAUCAUUAGAAAUAUUAAGGCUCUUAGGAAUGGUAACUCUAAUGAUCUCCCUUAGUGGAUGGGUGGUACUCAUGGCAUGUUCUUAGUUAAAACAACCUAGAAUCACAAGUAAGAGACAAGGAGAGAUUAUGAUUUCAUCUAGGCCAAAGGUUUGCCUUUUAAGGUGAAUUUUUUUUAUAUGGAGGUUGUAGAAAAGGAGAAUUGCAACUGAUGAUAACUUUAAAAGAAUGAGAAUAUAGUUGGUAUCAAGGUGUUGGUGUUGUGAGGAGAAUGUCAAGGAAAUAAUGUCUUAUCUAUUUCUAACAUCCCCUGUAGCCAUGAGGCUAUGAAGGCAGUUUGCUUAUUUUGCAAGUAUUCAAGUGGAGAACAUGCAACUUCAAUAGCUUAUAAUAGUUUGGUGGAAGUAAGCACCAACAAAAUUAAAGGUGUUAUAUAGAGCAAUACCAACUAUAAUAAUUUGGACUCUAUAGAAGAGAAGAAAUUAUAUUAAACAUGGAGGAACUGUACAGUUCACUGGAAUGGUCAUACAGAUAUAUGAUGUGGUGAAAAAGGUUAUCAAAAUACUAUAUCCCUGGAUAAAGAGUGAGCAUGGACAUGGCUAGAAGUUAUUGCCAAGAUAAAAGCCCACAAGCCCAAGUUGCACUAUCACAGUGGAAUUUGGAGGAAGCCAGAGAACCAGCAGGUGAAGUGAAACACUGAUGGAGCUUGCAGAGGAAAUCCUGGGAUAAGUUCCUGUGGUUUCUGCCUAAGGGAUAACAAAGUAGAUCUAAUAUAUGCAAGAGCAAAGGGAUUGGGAGCAGGCACUAACACAGAAGCUAAAUAAUUAGCAAUAAAAGAAGCCUUAGAGUACUGUUAUGAAAAGAACAUAAUUGACUUUAUUCUUGAAAUAGACUCCUUUGGCCUCAGAAAAAUGAUUCUACAACAGUGGAAAGUGCCUUAGGAAUUAGCAGAGCUAUUUGAUAAGGUUAGGAAGAAUGGACAGAAGAUGAAUGUUAUAGUCAUGCACAUAUUCUAGGAAGGAAACACUGUGGAAGAUUCCUUAGCCAAUGAGCUGAUUGAAUCAAAAAUGACAUAGGAAUUCCAUAAUUUUCAUGAACUUCCAACACAUACAAAAAUACUGAUUAACAUAGAUAAAGCAUAGAUCCCAAACACCAGGGUGAAAAGACAAAGAUAAUACCACAAUGAGAAACAAAAGAAGAAUCACAAAUACAAGAAAAUAGGAAAUUCAUUCAAGUUGUAAGAGCAUGGAUGUACCAAUAAUAUUUACAAAGCUACAGUUAUCCAAAAACACUAGCACGCCAUAAUUAAUGAAAGAGCAUGCCUAGAAGAAGACAUUACAACAGUGCCAAUAAAAGUUAGGACUAAAAGUUUUAGCUAUCAAAAACCUGCACCAAAAAUAGAGGUUUUUGGGGCGUUGCACUACCAUGGAUCACCAGUUGUAGAUGCAGAAGAAUCGAGACUGCCACAAUCUCAAUCCCACCUGAAAUGUGGAUAAAUAGGUCAGAAAUGGAGUAAAUGAAAAAGGAAAAGAAAAGACAAGAGAGAAAACAUAUUGGUAUCUCAUGAUCUGGUGGAAAUGGUAUUCCUUCUAUGGUUCCUUGGGGUUAAAACCCAACCACCUACGAGAUCAAAAGUUAGGUUAAUAAAUGAAAAGAAAAGAGAGAAGAAGGAAAAAGAGAGAAGCUCACUAUGAAAUAGUGAAGAGGGUAGACAGAGCUCAACAAUCACCAUUGUAGGCUCAUGCUUGAACACGACCAAAAGGAGGAAGAACUUCAGCUUGCAAGUUCCACCGGCAACACUUCGACAGCAUGGUUCAACUCACAAGGCAGCAGCAAGUAGAAAGAAAGAGUACUUUGUACUUGAAGAAUAAAGGCAGAUAUUUAUACUACUUUAGGAAACGUUUUAUUUUCCUCUUUAUUUUGGAUCGAGUUCUAUUUUG
rnacentral:lncRNA from 1 species